rnacentral:rRNA from 1 species
UGAGGAAUAUUGCUCAAUGGGCGAAAGCCUGAAGCAGCAACGCCGCGUGCGCGAUGAAGGUCUUCGGAUCGUAAAGCGCUUUUGAGAGGGACAAGAUAGGACGGUACCUCUUGAAUAAGUCACGGCUAACUACGUGCCAGCAGCCGCGGUAAAACGUAGGUGGCAAGCGUUAUCCGGAUUCACUGGGCGUAAAGCGCGUGCAGGUGGCUUCGUAAGUUGGACGUUAAAUCUUUCGGCCUAACCGGGCGGUGUCGUUCAAUACUGCGGGGCUUGAGGGUAGAAGAGGGGGGUGGAAUUGCCUGUGUAGUGGUGAAAUGCGUAGAUAUCGGCAGGAACACCUGUGGCGAAAGCGGCCCCCUGGUCUGCUCCUGACACUCAGACGCGAAAGCUAGGGGAGUGAACG